rnacentral:rRNA from 1 species
GACGAACGCUGGCGGCGUGCUUAACACAUGCAAGUCGAACGGAAAGGCCCUGCUUUUGUGGGGUGCUCGAGUGGCGAACGGGUGAGUAACACGUGAGUAACCUGCCCUUGACUUUGUGAUAACUUCAGGAAACUGGGGCUAAUACCGGAUAGGAGCUCCUGCUGCAUGGUGGGGGUUGGAAAGUUUCGGCGGUUGGGGAUGGACUCGCGGCUUAUCAGCUUGUUGGUGGGGUAGUGGCUUACCAAGGCUUUGACGGGUAGCCGGCCUGGGAGGGUGACCGGCGACAUUGGGACUGAGAUAGGGACCAGACUCCAACGGGAGGCAGCAGUGGGGAAUAUUGCACAAUGGGAGGAAGCCUGAUGCAGCAACGCCGCGAGCGGGAUGCCGGCCUUCGGGUUGUAAACCGCUUUCGCCUGAAACGAAGAGUGAGUGACGGUAAUGGGUAAAGAAGCACCGGCUAACUACGUG